AUUGAACGCUGGCGGCAUGCCUUACACAUGCAAGUCGAACGGUAACAGGUCUUCGGAUGCUGACGAGUGGCGAACGGGUGAGUAAUACAUCGGAACGUGCCUAGUAGUGGGGGAUAACUACUCGAAAGAGUGGCUAAUACCGCAUGAGAUCUACGGAUGAAAGCAGGGGAUCGCAAGACCUUGUGCUACUAGAGCGGCCGAGGGCAGAUUAGGUAGUUGGUGGGAUAAAGGCUUACCAAGCCGACGAUCUGUAGCUGGGCUGAGAGGACGAUCAGCCACACAGGGACUGAGACACGGCACAGACUCCUACGGGAGGCAGCAGUGGGGAAUGUUGGACAAGGGGCGAAAGCCUGAUCCAGCAAGGCCGCGUGAAGGAUGAAGGCCUUCGGUUUGUAAACUGCUUUUGUACGGAACGAAAAGCCCUGGGUUAAUACCCUGGGGUCAUGACGGUACCGUAAGAAUAAGCACCGGCUAACUACGUGCCAGCCGCCGCCGUAA
rnacentral:rRNA from 1 species